rnacentral:rRNA from 1 species
ACGAGAGGUCCAAACGUUAUUCGGAAUUACUGGGUUUACAGAGUUCGUAGGCGGUUCUACAAGUGAGGUGUGAAAGCCCUCGGCUCAACCGAGGAACUGCGCUUCAAACUGUAGAACUAGAGGGAGAUAGAGGUGAGCAGAACUGAUGGUGGAGCGGUGAAAUGCGUUGAUAUCAUCAGGAAUGCCGGAGGCGAAGGCGGCUCACUGGGUCUCUUCUGACGCUGAGGAACGAAAGCUAGGGGAGCAAACGGGA